rnacentral:rRNA from 1 species
GAUGAACGCUGGCGGCGUGCCUAAUACAUGCAAGUCGAGCGAACAGACGAGGAGCUUGCUCCUUCGACGUUAGCGGCGGACGGGUGAGUAACACGUAGGUAACCUACCUAUAAGACUGGGAUAACUUCGGGAAACCGGAGCUAAUACCGGAUAAUAUUUCGAACCGCAUGGUUCGAUAGUGAAAGAUGGCUUUGCUAUCACUUAUAGAUGGACCUGCGCCGUAUUAGCUAGUUGGUAAGGUAACGGCUUACCAAGGCAACGAUACGUAGCCGACCUGAGAGGGUGAUCGGCCACACUGGAACUGAGACACGGUCCAGACUCCUACGGGAGGCAGCAGUAGGGAAUCUUCCGCAAUGGGCGAAAGCCUGACGGAGCAACGCCGCGUGAGUGAUGAAGGUCUUCGGAUCGUAAAACUCUGUUAUUAGGGAAGAACAAACGUGUAAGUAACUGUGCACGUCUUGACGGUACCUAAUCAGAAAGCCACGGCUAACUACGAG